rnacentral:SRP_RNA from 1 species
GCUGGGCGUGGUGGCGCAUGCCUGUAAUCCCAGCUACUUGGGAGGCUGAGACAGGAGAAUCACUUGAACCUGGGAGGCAGAGGUUACAAUGAGCCAAGACCGUGCCAUUGCACUCCUGCCUGGGUGACAGAGUGAGACUCUGUCUCAA